UUUCCGUAGGUGAACCUGCGGAAGGAUCAUUACUGAAGAAAUGCGUUAGUUAGUUGAGCUGACUCCCCUUAGGAGUAUGUGCUCGCUAUAUCGCUUUUUCUAACUCUCUCCACUGUGCACCCUAUUGUAGGCUAUGAUAAGGUUUAGAAGGCUUUUAUGCAUUCAUUCAUUUUGUUUGCUUGCUUGCUUUCAACUUUGUAGCCUAUGUCUUACACAAACUCUUUGAUAGUCUUAUGAAUGUGUGUAUCCAAAUUGGUCUUUGAUCAAUACAAGUCAUAUAUACAACUUUCAGCAACGGAUCUCUUGGCUCUCGCAUCGAUGAAGAACGCAGCGAAAUGCGAUAAGUAAUGUGAAUUGCAGAAUUCAGUGAAUCAUCGAAUCUUUGAACGCACCUUGCACUCCUUGGGUAUUCCGAGGAGUAUGCCUGUUUGAGUGUCAUUAUAUUCUCAAAAACCUAGCUGUUCUCUGAAUGACUAGGCUUUUUGGAUGUGAGGGAUUGCUGGCUUUCUAUCGAGUCUGGCUCCCUUCAAAUGCAUUAGUGGUUGCUUCAUUCACUAGAGUGUGAUAGUAUAUCUACGCUUGUUACAGUGAACUGAAUAUAAAUCAUCUGCUUUCCAACUGUCUUGAAACAUAACAGACAUAUUUUGACUAU
rnacentral:sRNA from 1 species